rnacentral:tRNA from 1 species
GGGUCUGUAGCUCAGGUGGUUAGAGCGCACCCCUGAUAAGGGUGAGGUCGGUGGUUCGAGUCCACUCAGACCUG